UACAGAGGGUGCAAGCGUUGUUCGGAAUUAUUGGGCGUAAAGGGUGCGUAGGCGGUGCGGUAAGUCUGUAGUGAAAUCUCUGGGCUCAACUCAGAGUCUGCUAUAGAAACUGCCGUGCUUGAGUGUGGGAGAGGUGAGUGGAAUUCCCGGUGUAGCGGUGAAAUGCGUAGAUAUCUGGAGGAACACCGGUGGCGAAGGCGCAUCCUGGACCGGCAUUGACGCUGAGGAGCGAAAGCCAGGGGAGCAAACGGG
rnacentral:rRNA from 1 species